GGAGUAUGGACCGUGUCUCAGUUCCAUUGUGGCCGUUCAUCCUCUCAGACCGGCUACCGAUCGUCGGCUUGGUAGGCUUUUACUCUACCAACUACCUAAUCGGACGCAGGCUCCUCGCAAAGCGAUAAAUCUUUAGUGCAGAAUCCAUGCGAACUCCGCACAACAUCCGGUAUUAGCGUCCCUUUCGGAACGUUGUCCCCGACUUUGCGGCAGAUUACCUGCGCUUUACUCACCCGUUCGCCACUAAGUCAUCCCAAUUGAUUCUACUUUGAGCAAGCUCUCCAUUUCAUCGGGCGGGACGCUUCGUUCGACUUGCAUGUGUUAAGCACGCCGCCAGCGUUCAUC
rnacentral:rRNA from 1 species